AUAAAAGCUAUGAUGAAGAGCUAAUUAUCAAUAUAGUCAAUUGCAGAGAGCCGGGAAAGCUGGGAACCGGUAUUGGCUUGAUAGUAAGCGAUCACUUCGGAGCUGUAUGGCUGAACUUUAGUAGGUCAUAUCGUUAGGCUGCGUUAAAAGGCCAAGGUUUAAAAUUGGAUUUUUAAUUUAAAUCCUAUGAACCUAUUGAGUUAAUUAUCGUGAGAUAAUUAUAAAAUAGAGUGGUAAAGCGUUAUUAUACGCCUCUAUA
rnacentral:ncRNA from 1 species